rnacentral:rRNA from 1 species
GACGAACGCUGGCGGCGUGGAUUAGGCAUGCAAGUCGAACGGUAUCAUCCUUUCGGGGGUGAGAGAGUGGCGAACUGGUGAGUAACACGUAGGUUAUCUACCCUCAAGACGGGGACAACCCAGGGAAACUUGGGCUAAUACCGGAUGUGAGCAACUUUUAGUUGUUUGAAAGGUGGCGUAAGCUGUCGCUUGGGGAUGAGCCUGCGUCCUAUUAGUUAGUUGGUGAGGUAACGGCUCACCUAGGCAAUGAUAGGUAGGCGGCCUUAACGGGUGGUCGCCCACACUGGGAUUGAGAUACGGCCCAGACUCCUACGGGAGGCAGCAGUCGAGAAUAGUCUACAAUGGUCGGAAGACUGAUAGUGCGACGCCGCGUGAACGAUGAAUCCCUUCGGGGUGUAAAGUUCUUUUAUAUGUGAGCAGUGCUUCUAUAUUAACGUAUGGGGAGAGAGAUAUUAGCAUAUGAAUAAGCAACGGCUAACUCCGUGCCAGCAGCCGCGGU